rnacentral:rRNA from 1 species
UACAGAGGUCUCAAGCGUUGUUCGGAUUCAUUGGGCGUAAAGGGUGCGUAGGCGGCGCGGUAAGUCGGGUGUGAAAUCUUGGAGCUUAACUCCGAAACUGCAUUCGAUACUGCCGUGCUUGAGGACUGGAGAGGAGACUGGAAAUUUACGGUGUAGCGGUGAAAAUGCGUAGAUAUCGUAAGGAAGACCAGUGGCGAAGGCGGGUCUCUGGACAGUUCCUGACGCUGAG